rnacentral:rRNA from 1 species
CAAUAGCGUAUAUUAAAGUUGUUGCAGUUAAAAAGCUCGUAGUUGGAUUUCUGGUCGGAAGCUCCUGUCCUCUGAUGAGCGUACAAGUGCGUCCUACCAUCCUUCUGUUAACCUUUAAGGCUUUCGCGGCUUUCUAGGGGCUCAGAUAUUUUACCUUGAGAAAAUUAGAGUGUUUCAGGCAGGCUAGCGCCGGAAUACAUUAGCAUGGAAUAAUGGAAUAGGACUUUUGCCUCUUCUGUUGGUCAUGAGGCUCGAGUAAUGAUUAAUAGGGAUAGUUGGGGGCAUUAGUACUCAACUGUCAGAGGUGAAAUUCUCGGAUUUGUUAAAGACUAACUUAUGCGAAAGCAUUUGCCAAGGAUGUUUUCAUUAA